rnacentral:lncRNA from 1 species
GAAGAUGAAGAGACAUGAAGAUGUAUGCCUGAUCCAGUCAAGUACUAAUCAAGGCUUGAAUGACUCCCAGUAUCCCUCCUGUUCAUUUUGAGUUGGGAAUAUAUCAACCACAGAGCAAAACAGUGUUCCUCAGCAGUGUGUCACAAUGAUUGGUUGUAUGGGUGUCACAGUUCUGCAAGAAAUACAAAUCUGUAAGAAGAAUGAAACCUUGACUGGAAAUACGCUGGAAAGCUGUCGUAAUAAAUUUGACAUAAUAUGCAUGACAUGGAUGGAUAGAUCAUUGUUUGCCAGGCCUGGCAAAUAAAACUGGUGUCGUGGAGUCAGAAUUACAGGGGGAGAGAAACAUUGUUCUACAAGGCAUGUUCCAGAGAGGAACCAAAUCUGAAACAGCUAUAUAUUUUACUUGUGCUUAAAUUGAAUAAUAAAAAAGGCUUGCUCAGAAAUCUUACUGUGCUU